GUUCAGGCUGGUCAUGCUGGCGGUGCGGUGAGCGCCGCCCUGAGGACAGACACCACAGAAGAAGAGUUUGGUUAUUGUUUGACUGAAGGAACUUCCAGCAGUCGGAGCUCGACAGCUGAAGACUCGGAAAAAGAAACACACGAUAACAACACAGGAGCGAGGUCGCUGACCUUCCUGAUGGUGGCGCUGUAGUGUCCCAUCAUGCUCUGGUCGAUGCCUUCGAUCAGUCGCACGCGCUCACAGACGGCCUCCGUCGCCAUGGAGCUGAGGAGGACGGCGGGAGCGCCCGACACCACGGAGGCCGAACCCUGAACACCAACACACGCAGUUUCAGAGCAUCAGAAGAAGCAGAAACAGAAAAAAAAUCAACUUUUGUACAUCAAAGUCUCUAAAAGUUACACAGCCCCACAAACCACAGAAGAAGAGACGAGAGGUGGAGUCCGGCGUCGCCAACAGCAGAAGA